rnacentral:rRNA from 1 species
CUACGGGUUGCAGCAGUGAGGAAUUUUGCGCAAUGGGGGAAACCCUGACGCAGCAACGCCGCGUGAGUGAUGAAGGCUUUCGGGUCGUAAAGCUCUGUCAAGUGGGAAGAAUUAGCCUGAUGCUAAUAUCAUCGGGAAUUGACGGUACCACUGAAGGAAGCACCGGCUAACUCCGUGCCAGCAGCCGCGGUAAUACGGGGGGUGCAAGCGUUAUUCGGAAUCAUUGGGCGUAAAGAGCGCGUAGGCGGCCUUUUAAGUCAGAUGUGAAAGCCCGGGGCUUAACCCCGGAAGUGCAUUUGAAACUAUUGGGCUUGAGUAUGGGAGAGGGAAGUGGAAUUCCUGGUGUAGAGGUGAAAUUCGUAGAUAUCAGGAGGAACACCGGUGGCGAAGGCGACUUCCUGGACCAAUACUGACGCUGAGGCGCGAAGGCGUGGGGAGCAAACAGGAUUAGAUACCCUAGUAGUC